AUGAAAUAACAAUCUAGUUUGCUGUACAAGAUCCGGGUUACCAGGUGAUAUAAAAGGACGCAGCGUGUGUUGGACUCUCACCGCUGUCUCCCAGCCAGGCUUUUUGCAUACCAUACCUUGUUUAAGCCUUCCUACACUGCUGCUACGGCACCUCUUUUUACUGCCAGUGAAACGGAGAGCAUAAUCUACUUGGCGCGGAUUGGACCCCAGCUCCAGAUCUCUCUUUAGAAAGAGGUAGAGAAGAGAGGACAAAUUUCUAGAGGAAGAAAGCCUGUGACCUCACUGUCUGGGCCUUGAGAAUGUCUGGGGCUCUCACAAACAGCCUCUAAAGUUGGAGCUGUUUUUUGUUUGUUUGUUUGUUUGUUUGUUUUGUUUUGUUUUACCGGAUGAAGGAGCCUCGUGGAGUAAGGCAAGCAAGGGAGAGGGAAGACGAUGUGGCAAUCCUCAGGCAGGAAAAACAAAGCAGGUGAAGGCUGCUUCCUUGGGAAGAGAGAGAAGAAUAAACAAUAUCUGACCCCCAUUCAGUCUCCUCCACCUAUUUAUCUGAAAAGUCUGCCUCAAGCAGAGUUCUCGGUGUCUUUCUGGACACUCACCCUCAUUCAGCAUCCACAGCCUUUCUCCCAUGCUGUCUUUCAGAUACUAGUAUUUAAUGCCAUGUUCUUCUCAACCUCUGAGAAGUUAAUUCUAAUCCCCUAGACCUCAGUUUAAACAUCACUUCCUACCUCCAACCAGAGGCCUUUCCUGCCUCUGCCCCUGCUGGAGCCCCAGGUUACCUCCCAGGGUGUCAUGCCCUUGACUGCCCCUACCGUGCCUUUUAAAAACAUGCUUCUUGUAUGUAAUUAUUUGUUUAAUGUCUGUCUUCCCCUUGGAGGUCUAUAAGGGUAGCAAACAAGUCUGUCUGGUUUCCUGCUUUAUUUCUAACAAAAUCUGUAGAACCUGGAUCGUGGCCAAUACCCAAGUUUCCCUGGACCAUUGAGGAAAAGAUGGGUCUGCAAGAUCCGUGCUCAAUCAACCUGGAGUAGAUAUCAUGAAUCUCAGAAAAUAAUAACUAAAUUAGCAUUCAGUUCUCACUUUAUAAUUUUCAAAGGAAUGUGAAAAGUACCUUGUAAUCUGUAAAAGUGCUAAAGAAACAACGUUACCGUUUUUAUUAGUGCUUCUCUCAGAGUUUAAAAAAAAACAAACUCUUGGAGCUGAAGCCCUUAUUAGUCACCCCUGAUGACAGUUGUCCCUCAGAGGACAAAUUCUAACAGGCAAUCCAAAGGAACCGGGCAGAAGGGCUUUCACUAAUAACCCUAAAACUGGAUUUCCCUGUGUCUUUGCAAGUUAUCACAGAAAACUAAAACAAAACCACAGUGAGUAAAUGUGUCAAAUUCGCGAAGACCACAGGGCACACUGGGAAAUCUGCCUUUUCAAGCCACUGGCUUCUGCAGCUGCUUUUAAUACAAUGUUCGCUUCUUCUUCUUGGCUGGCAUCCCUUUGGCACCAAAGAACACCAAAGGCUUAUUACAUACCAGCACCCCUGAAGGUGAUGUGCCAGUCUCCAGUCCCCCUCCCACCCCACGACCACACAGGCUCUGCUAUGCUUGGCAGCUGCCAGGAUGUCCUCCCCAGCUGCCUAAAAAGGUGCAUGCAAAGAGCGUUUCAGUUUAAAACCCACCAGAAGGGGCGGGCCUGUUUUUAAAGUGUACAUAUCGCACAGCGCUAUCUUUAUAAAGAGCUGCAUGUGCAUUGGGAAGAGGGGAAAUGAAGGAAGGGGAAGGUCUGGUUACAUGGACACGAUGGUCAGGAAAAGGUCUGAGACCUUCCUAAAACAUUAGAUUUGUGACGUCUUGAGUCUGUGGCCCUCAAGUACCAAUUAUCAAGAUUGAUUGGGUCCUGGGGAAAACUAGGUUUAACUAUCCCUGCUGAGGCCAGGCUCCCUGGAAAUACACAACAUGCUGGUUUAAUUAUUUACCAUAGUAAUCUCUCUAGAAGCAAAGCCUCCUUGGAAAGCCGAAGUCAGACCACUGGAGACUAGGAAGUGUUGUUAAGCUGGGAGAGGGCAGCCACUGAGAACUCUUCCAUCACGGAGCCUCGUUUUCCUAGGCCUUUAUCUGGAUGCCCUAGCUUGUCUCUCCAUAAUCCUCCCCCUUCUGAAAACACAGACCUUGUUAGUACUGCCUAUUCUUGGAAUACAGCCGACCCUCGGUCCACAGCAGGCCUUCCCUGUGCUCAGUCCCCUGUACCACUUCCCAGGAUAGAGUGGCCUGGGUACCUAUGGACUCUAGUUAGCCUACCCUCACUUUACCACUGGGGGUCACACGGGGUCACUGUCUCCAGGACUUUCCAUUCAUCCUUUUUGUAUUGCCUUCCUGCUCAAAAUUCUCCACCGGCUUCCACGUCUGCAGGAGCAGUGUCCUAACUCUUAUUGUCGGUGGGUGUCUGUCACCUGGACUCUCUCUUCUCCUUGAGCUCUUUUAUUUUAUUUUUUUAUUGUUCCAGCAGUUCCAAAAAUAGCCCCGCAUUAUACAAAAUGUGUUUCCUCACUCCCGUGUCCUCCCCCACCUCAUCCUCAUCCACCUGCCGCCUCCCCUCCCUCCCUGUGAAGCCCACAGCCUUCUCAGGGCAGCCCCCCAUCACUUACCCAAGCCGACUCCCAACUCUUCUCCCACUCCCACCACCCCCAUUCUGUCCCUGCAGCUUGUCACAUGGCACUGUUAUUUUCUGUUCACAUUCGGGCUCCCUAGGGAGCAAGUAUGUUUAUUUUGAUCCGUGGAGUCUCCCCCACCAAGUUAGCAACAGCAGAUAUUAAAGCUGACUUUAUCUGCGGAUGGAAUGUUGAUAGAAUUGCCCCCUGUGAGAGUGAUUACAUCAGCAAUUACACCUAAUGGGUAGGCAGUCAAAAAAAAGGACCUGGACCAGU